rnacentral:snRNA from 1 species
UUCCAUUGAUGAUAGAAGGUCAUAGGUGGUUCACCCAGGGUGAGGCUCGGCCAUUGCACUCUGACUCUGCUGACCCCUGUGAAUUCCCCAAAUGUGGGAAACUCGACUGCAAGAUUUCUGGUAGUGGGGGACUGCUUUUUUUUGGUUCUUCU